rnacentral:rRNA from 1 species
AUUGAACGCUGGCGGCAGGCCUAACACAUGCAAGUCGAACGAGUGGCGGACGGGUGAGUAAUGUCUGGGAAACUGCCUGAUGGAGGGGGAUAACUACUGGAAACGGUAGCUAAUACCGCAUACCAUCGGAUGUGCCCAGAUUGGAUGUGCUAGUAGGUGGGGGAAAGGCUUACCUAGGCGACGAUCCCUAGCUGGUCUGAGAGGAUGACCCGCCACACUGGAACUGAGACACGGUCCAUACUCCUACGGGAGGCAGCAGUGGGGAAUCUUGCACAAUGGGCGCAAGCCGGAUGCAGCCAUGCCGCGUGUGUGAAGAAGGUCUUCGGAUUGUAAAGCACUUUAAGUUGGGAGGCGGUACCAACAGAAUAAGCACCGGCUAACUUCGUGCCAGCAGCCGCGGUAAUAC